GAUGAACGCUGGCGGCGUGCCUAAUACAUGCAAGUCGAGCGAACAGAUGAGGAGCUUGCUCCUCUGACGUUAGCGGCGGACGGGUGAGUAACACGUGUAUAACCUCCCUAUCAGACUGGGAUCACUUCGGGAAACCGGAGCUAAUACCGGAUAAUAUAUUGCACCGCAUUGUUCAAUAGUGAAAGACGGUUUUGCUGUCACUUAUAGAUGGAUCCGCGCCGCAUUAGCUAGUUGGUAAGGUAACGGCUUACCAAGGCAACGAUGCGUAGCCGACCUGAGAGAGGGAUCGGCCACACGGGAACUGAGACACGGUCCAGACGCCUAAGGGAGGCAGCAGUAGGGAAUGGUACGCAAUGGGCGAAAGCAUGACGGAGCAACGGGGCGUGAGUGAUGAAGGUCUUGGGAGCGUAAAACUCUGUUAUUAGGGAAGAACAAAUGUGGAAGGAAAUAUGCACGUCGUGACGGUAACUAAUCAGAAAGCCACGGCUAACUACGUG
rnacentral:rRNA from 1 species